rnacentral:rRNA from 1 species
AGUGGCGCACGGGUGCGUAACGCGUAUGCAACCUACCUUAAUCAGGGGGAUAGCCCGAAGAAAUUCGGAUUAACACCGCAUAAAAUCACAGUAUAGCAUUAUACAAUGAUCAAAUAUUUAUAGGAUUAAGAUGGGCAUGCGUGACAUUAGUUAGUUGGCGGGGUAACGGCCCACCAAGACCACGAUGUCUAGGGGAUCUGAGAGGAUGACCCCCCACACUGGUACUGAGACACGGACCAGACUCCUACGGGAGGCAGCAGUAAGGAAUAUUGGUCAAUGGAGGCAACUCUGAACCAGCCAUGCCGCGUGCAGGAAGACAGCCCUCUGGGUCGUAAACUGCUUUUAUUCGGGAAUAAACCUAUCUACGUGUAGAUAGCUGAAUGUACCGAAGGAAUAAGGAUCGGCUAACUCCGUGCCAGCAGCCGCGGUAAUACGGAGGAUCCAAGCGUUAUCCGGAUUUAUUGGGUUUAAAGGGUGCGUAGGCGGCUUAUUAAGUCAGGGGUGAAAGACGGUGGCUCAACCAUCGCAGUGCCUUUGAUACUGAUGAGCUUGAAUAUACUAGAGGUAGGCGGAAUGUGACAAGUAGCGGUGAAAUGCAUAGAUAUGUCACAGAACACCGAUUGCGA